GAUGAACGCUGGCGGCGUGCUUAACACAUGCAAGUCGAACGAAGAUGCCGGAGUGCUUGCACUUUGGCAGACUGAGUGGCGGACGGGUGAGUAACGCGUGGGUAACCUGCCUCACACAGGGGGAUAACAGUUGGAAACGGCUGCUAAUACCGCAUAAGCGCACAGUACCGCAUGGUACAGUGUGAAAAACUCCGGUGGUCUGGGAUGGACCCGCGUCCGAUUAGUUAGUUGGCGGGGUAACGGCCCACCAAGACCGCGAUCGGUAGCCGACCUGAGAGGGUGACCGGCCACAUUGGGGACUGAGACACGGCCCAGACUCCUACGGGAGGCAGCAGUGGGGGAAUAUUGCACAAUGGAGGAAACUCUGAUGCAGCGACGCCGCGUGAGCGAAGAAGUAUUUCGGUAUGUAAAGCUCUGUCAGCAGGGAAGAUAAUGACGGUACCUGACCAAGAAGCCCCGGCUAACUACGUG
rnacentral:rRNA from 1 species